AAUACAGAGAGUACAGGUGAAAUCUGGAUUAAACCUUGGGCAGAAAAAUUAGCUGCAAAAAAAUAUACAUUAACAAAUGAAGAUAGGAAAAUCCGCCAUCUACUCCCAGACUUUUUGCACACAAUUAAAAAGCAUCACAAACACCAGGGUGAAUGGAAUUGGCAAGACUUCAUACAGUCACCGUUCCCCUAUCAAAUGACUUUCCUCUAUACCACCGAGAGAUCAUUAUUCCUCACGGCACCCAUAAAUGAUUGGAACGGCGAAAAGGAUAAUGAGACAAUAUUUAAGAAAUGGUUGCCACUAACUCCUGAUGCUCAAUGGCAUCAGCUUCGCUGGUCUCACGAAGAUGAAUCAUGGAAUCUGACGAUUACAGAGGCGGCAGGUGCGAGAAUAAUUGGAAAGAAACCAGUAAUAAAGAAUGGUGAGACUUAUGUAGAAAAUAUAUGGAAUACAGCUGAAGUUGAAUGGCAACCUUGUAGGAUGAGAGGAGGCGAAUGGGAGUGUCUUAAAGAUAAAACUCUAAUACAGGAACUAAAGAAAACUGUAAAUUCCACAUAUGCCUUUGCAUCACACGAUAUGCUGACCGAGAACAGAAGAGGGAUGUGUGUGAUUCCCGGAAAGCAUGUGAGGGUACCUCACUGGCCAUCCCAUGUGGCGUCUGUCGGAUGGUUACAGGGAAUAGACAUAGGAGGAUUGAUGUAUGAUAGAUUGAGGUUUGUUAGAAAUGUGCUUUGUGAUGGAAACAAAUUAAAAAAUAGGGAGAAAACUGUUCCAAUUUUUCAGGAAUGGAAAAAUGAUAAUACAAAAAUGAAACUAAAAGAAGAUAGCCCAUGGUAUAUCCCAACUGAUACUGUGAGGAAUUGUGCAGUGACAGAAAUCGAUAACUCAAGAAUUGUACUGGAGGCCUCGGAUGAUGUUUUUAACUGUGAAGCAAUAGGGAAGCAUAGUUAUAGAGAAAAGAGUAUGGAAAAAAGGGGGACAGGCCUGCCAGCUUGGAGGAUGUUUGGGGCUAUGAUGAUCGGGGUCGCCGUACAGGGAGUAAAAAAGGGAGUGGUUGAAACUGCUCAAAAUGUUUGGUGGUGGACCAAAGAAAUAAUGUGGUACCUUAAAUGGAUAAUGCUAGCUAUUGGGGGUAUAAUAUUUUUGGCAGUAGUAGGAAAAAUAUUAGCAAUUUUAAAUUGCUGCAGAAAAAUGUGCAACUGGGCAUUUAGUAGAGCAGAUAGAAGACACGAAACAUUAGUGACUCAGUCUGCCAGGAAGUUGGACAAAGAAAUACAAAAGAAGAAGAAAAGGCAUCGUUUUAGGAAGAAAGGAGAGGCCCUUUAACCAGGGGCCUCCUGCUCAGCAAAGGCGUAAAAAACAUCAUAAGAUUGGGC
ensembl:lncRNA